rnacentral:rRNA from 1 species
UACGGCGGGUGCAAGCGUUAUCCGGAUUCACUGGGUUUAAAGGGUGCGUAGGUGGGUCUGUAAGUCAGUGGUGAAAUCUUCGAGCUUAACUCGGAAACUGCCAUUGAUACUAUAGAUCUUGAAUUUUCUGGAGGUAAGCGGAAUAUGUCAUGUAGCGGUGAAAUGCUUAGAUAUGACAUAGAACACCAAUUGCGAAGGCAGCUUACUACGGGAACAUUGACACUGAGGCACGAAAGCGUGGGGAUCAAACAGG